UAAUACGUAGGUGGCAAGCGUUGUCCGGAUUUACUGGGCGUAAAGCGCGCGCAGGCGGGCUGGUCAGUCUGGGGUGAAAUCUCACGGCUCAACCGUGAGAGGUCCCUGGAUACUGCUAGCCUUGAGGGGCUCAGAGGAGAGUGGAAUUCCGGGUGUAGUGGUGGAAUGCGUAGAUAUCCGGAGGAACACCAGUGGCG
rnacentral:rRNA from 1 species